rnacentral:rRNA from 1 species
UAUGAGAAUAAUCUUUAUAUUUAGUAUAUUAAGGAAAAAUACUUUUUUGUUAUAGUAUAUUAGUACUGUUAAGGAAUUGAUGAAAUAACUUAAAAUUUAAUUUUAAAUAAGUAUGCUUAUUUUGCAGUACCUUUUGUAUCAGGGUUAAUCAAUUAAUUUAAUUUAUAUUUAUAUCUCGAUUUUAGAUGAGCUAAGUUAUUAUUUUAAUUAAUGUGGAAUAAUUAUUAAUAAUAUAAUUUAGAGGAGAAAUUCCAUUCGGAUCUAAAGGUAUCUAGUUUUUUAAGAAAUAAAUUUAAUUUAACUUUAACAUUUAAUUUUUAUAUUUUUAUAUUUAUUAUAAGUUAAAAUAAAAAUUAUAGGGGAUAAGCUCUAUAUUUUUCUAUAAAAGUUUUUAUUAAUUAAUUUCUGUAGGUUUAAAAUUAUCCAUCAUUGGUAAGUAUGUUAUAAUUUAUAUUUAUUAUUAAUUAAUUUUAUUUUUUUUAGUAAAUUAUUAAAAUAUCAGAAUGAAUCAAUUAUUUUGAGUAAUAAUGAUUAAAUUAGUAUAAAUUAUUGUUUAUUAUAUUAUUAUUUUUAUGAUAAAAUAAGGAACUCGGCAAAUAUAGUUCUCGCCUGUUUAUCAAAAACAUGUCCUUUUGAAUUUAAUUGAAGGUCUGACCUGCCCAGUGAGGAGUUCAACGGCCGCGGUAUACUGACCGUGCAAAGGUAGCAUAAUCAUUAGUCUUUUAAUAGAGGGCUGGAAUGAAAGGUUUAACGAGGAACUAACUGUCUCAUUUUAUUUGUUUUAAAAUUUAAUUUUUUAGUUAAAAAGCUAAAAUUUUAUUGGAAGACGAGAAGACCCUAUAGAUCUUUACAUGAAAUUAUUUAAAUAUUUAUAUAUCAAUAUUUUUAGGUUUUUUUGUGUUCUGUUGGGGUGACAAAAAUAUAUAUUUAACUUUUUUAUUUACAUAACAUUAAUUUAUGAAUAUUAGAUCCAUUAUUAUUGAUUAUUAGACUAAGUUACCUUAGGGAUAACAGCGUAAUCCUCCUCCAGAGUUCGUAUUAACAGGAUGGGCUUGCGACCCCGAUGUUGGAUUAAGAUAAUAAUUAGGUGUAGCAGCUUAAUUUAUAGGUCUGUUCGACCUUUAAAUUCUUACAUGAUCUGAGUUCAGACCGGUUUAAGCCAGGUCGGUUUCUAUCUCCAAUUUUAAUCAAUUUUUAGUACGAAAGGACCAAAAUUGUAAAAUAAUUUUUUCUUAUUGAUUAAUAUUACUAUUUUGGCAGAAAAGUGCCAUGAAUUUAGAAU